rnacentral:rRNA from 1 species
GCUCAGGAUGAACGCUGGCGGUCUGCUUAACACAUGCAAGUCGAACGGGCUCUUCGGAGCUAGUGGCGGACGGGUGAGUAACGCGUGAGGAUCUGCCUUCAGGAGGGGGAUAACGACUGGAAACGGUCGCUAAUACCGCAUAUGCCUACGGGUGAAAGAUUUAUCGCCUGGAGAUGAACUCGCGUCAGAUUAGCUAGUUGGUGGGGUAAGAGCCUACCAAGGCGACGAUCUGUAGCUGGUCUGAGAGGAUGAUCAGCCACACUGGGACUGAGACACGGCCCAGACUCCUACGGGAGGCAGCAGUGGGGAAUUUUCCGCAAUGGGCGCAAGCCUGACGGAGCAAGACCGCGUGCGGGAUGACGGCCUAAUGGUUGUAAACCGCUUUUCUCUGGGAAGAUGAUGACGGUACCAGAGGAAUCAGCCUCGGCUAACUCCGUGCCAGCAGCCGCGGUAAUACGGAGGAGGCAAGCGUUAUCCGGAAUUAUUGGGCGUAAAGCGUCCGUAGGUGGUUAUUCAAGUCUGCUGUCAAAGCGUGGGGCUUAACUCCAUAGAGGCAGUGGAAACUGGAUGACUUGAGUGCGGUAGGGGUCGAGGGAAUUCCCAGUGUAGCGGUGAAAUGCGUAGAUAUUGGGAAGAACACCAGUGGCGAAAGCGCUCGACUGGGCCUGCACUGACACUGAGGGACGAAAGCUAGGGGAGCGAAAGGGAUUAGAUACCCCUGUAGUCCUAGCCGUAAACGAUGGAUACUAGGUGUUGCUCGUCAUCGACCCGAGCAGUGCCGUAGCCAACGCGUUAAGUAUCCCGCCUGGGGAGUACGCUCGCAAGAGUGAAACUCANAGGAAUUGACGGGGGCCCGCACAAGCGGUGGAGUAUGUGGUUUACUUCGAUGCAACGCGAAGAACCUUACCAGGGCCUUGACAUGUCCGGAAACUUGCCGAAACGUGAGGGUGCCUACGGGAACCGGA